CAGCCCUGCUGCAUACAUUCUGACCAACUUGGCAGCAAAACCAGACUGAACUUUAAAGUUAGGUGAUAGGCCCCCUCCACGCUAUUUGUAGUGAAUGUUGUCCUCUGCUCUCAGUGCAUUCUACACAUUAUAUAGUAUAGUGAGGAACUUCAGUGCACAAGCAACUACAAAGAAUAAUGUUUUCACACAUACAGGACAGCUGCACUACUACAUGAAGGAUGACGAACUGAGCAGGAAAAAGUGAUGCGAGUAAGAGGGGUAGGUGAAAUUAGCGGGUUUGCCAGCACACUGACCAUACAGUACCAGAGCUACCCUGAUGAGGAUGAAGAUAUCUACGUACCAGAGGCCAUCACCCGGUGUCAUUGAAGAAAUCAGCACAUUACUUACCUCUACAAGCAGCCUCCGAAGUUGACCUAUGCACUGAAAAACCAUGUCAUCGUUGUUGCAUGAUUUUAUUGAUGAGGUAAGCUAUAAAAUGAGGUGAAAGGAGGGCAUUGCAAAAAUUCUUUUGUAUAAAAAAAUUCAAAUCAUAAAACAAUAACAGCUGGAAUCACAUUAAUCACAACAGUAGUAUUUGUUCCCACUUUAUUUUGUUAACACAAACAACACAUCUUACAAAUUUUGUUGUCAAUAACAUAGUAUAGUUCUUGAUAAGCCUGUCCUGAAGUUGUAAGGGGUCUUUGUAUUCAGGUCUUCUAAUUUCCUUCAAAUAAAAUUUUCUGAAUGAAAGUGGUGUUUGGGCACUUAUAUAUUUUACAUGAAUGUACUAACAAUGAAAAUGAAUUCUGAAGUGACACACAUUCACAUAAUUUGAUAGGCCUAGCUGGGCGAUAAAUCCACCUUCAGUUUGUAAUGGUUCUCUAUUUACAUGACCAUUACGGCACCCCAACCCCAAUUCUCGAUACCAGUAAUAUCGUACUACUCUUCUGCGAAGUAACAGAUAUAUUUUUGUGACAAU